GCAGUCAGUCAGAAGAACUCCCUCAGACGGACACCACGUUAUUAAAGUCCAUCAUCCUUGCAUGCGCUACACACUCAAAAGCGUUGAUAAAUGCUGAAUUUAAAAGAAUCACUACUGUCUUAUGUUCCUGGGUGUCACCCGGACCUCCAAUCCAAAAACCUGACGAAACUCUUCUAUCAGAAAGGAGGACAGCUAGCAAAAAGACUUCAAACAAUGAAUGAUCAAAUGACAGAAGGCAUGGAUGAAGUCAGCAUCAGUGUGGUCAUUUGAAGACACCACUGUUGGGAUUUGUGCUCUCAAACAACAUGCUUCUUGUGAUGAAGAAGAGGAUCUUUGUAUAGUCCUGAAAGCCAUGAAGGUGUUGCAACAUCUGGCCACGUUGUUUGAGCUGAUGUAUGCCUUAAACCUGAGCUAUCCUGAUCUCUGCUUUAUUUUUGAAGAAAUCCAAAAGAUUUUAAUGGAACUGCAUUGAGCGUAACUUUAACGAACAGUUUCUUUCAGUGAAAGGAUCAGAAAGACUGUGCUGCUCAUUUAUGUUCUUUUUAUUUAUCUGUUUUAAGUGUUUUUUUUUUAUUAAAACAUUAACAGUUUGCUGCUCAGAGUUGAUUUUGGAAAUGGUUGUUGUAUUUUGUUUUUGUUGAAUCUUUGAUUAUCAGUUUAUACAAAUGCUGUAGCUCUGACUUUCUGAAGGAUUGAUAUUUUCCAGUUUGUAAAUCCAUUUAAAAAAUAAUAGUACUUACUGUUUUGCAUGUCUCUUUGGAAUGCAGUGUUUGUGCUUUAGCACUUCUAAAUCUACUGUGAUAGUAACUAUUUUAAACAUUUGGGUCAGUUUUACAGAUGGGGCUUUUUCUAUUCCCAGACUUUUGCAAUGCCUUAAUUUGAAAACAUAUUGCACUGACAUAUCUUGACAUAUAUCAGUGCCAUUGGUUUGUCUCAAGAUGUACUCCAGUGUUGUUUUUGUAAGGUAGGUUUGUUUGUAAACUUUUUUUGUAAAAAAUAUCCUAAUAUAACUAGGGCCUAGUCAUGGAUUAAUCUACAACCUGUUUGGGAAAUUGCCCCUUUGUAUGUACAGCAUGUGCUGAUUGUUGUAAUAGUUAUUGACUGUUGUUGAAUUAAUGUGUAGUGAUUUAAAUGAAUUGAUGAUCUGAAAGCAGUGGUUUGCCUCAAUAUCACUAAACUUUUGUUUAAAACUCUUUGCUUUUUAUGCCAAUGCAAAUGUAUUUUGUAUUUAAAAAAGAAAUAAAUAACAUUUGGAUAAUUA